AUAAAUGUACACAGCGUACA
rnacentral:snRNA from 1 species